AACGAACGCUGGCGGCAGGCCUAACACAUGCAAGUCGAACGCCUGUAGCAAUACAGGAGUGGCAGACGGGUGAGUAACACGUGGGAACGUGCCCAAAGGUACGGAACAACUCCGGGAAACUGGAGCUAAUGCCGUAUGUGCCCGAAAGGGGAAAGAUUUAUCGCCUUUGGAUCGGCCCGCGUACCAUUAGCUAGUUGGUAGGGUAAUGGCCUACCAAGGCGACGAUGGUUAGCGGGUCUGAGAGGAUGAUCCGCCACACUGGAACUGGAACACGGACCAGACUCCUACGGGAGGCAG
rnacentral:rRNA from 1 species